rnacentral:lncRNA from 1 species
GGACCUCCAUGUCCCAACUAAAUCCCUAGUGGACUCAUAAGAAUUCAAUACUCAGUGUUCUAUUUUGUUGGUUCUUACUCUCCGACACGGGCAAGGCAAACCAUAGGGGCUGGGUUUACUGUAACAAUCAGUGUUCUAUUUUGUUGAGUUCAGGAAGGUUCCGCUUCACGUACCAUUUCUCAAAAAUUUCCUGGGCAGAAAUGUUGUGAAAAUGUUUAAAAACAAAUGUU